GGACGGGGUGCCAGAGAACUGGGGUGGCUACAAUAACAGCAUCCCAUUGCCUGGUGAUGAUGUCAUCAUUUUGCCAGGCAAAACCAUCCUCGUGGAUAUGACUCUUCCUCGUCUCCGAAGUCUGUACAUCCUGGGAGUUCUGGAAUUCCCUUCCAACUCCAGCAACGUUCUCAGUGCCUCCUGCAUUCUCAUAGCUGGUGGUACGCUGAAUGUUGGCACAUCACAGAAUCCAUUAGAAAGAAGAGCAAAGCUACGAAUUGUCCUUCGGGCAUCUGAGAAGGUUUACUGUGACCGAUUGGAUGGGA